rnacentral:rRNA from 1 species
UACGGAAGGGGCUAGCGAUAUUCGGAAUUACUGGGCGUAAAGAGCGCGUAGGCGGCUUACCAAGUUGGGGGUGAAAUCCCGGGGCUCAACUCCGGAACUGCCUUCAAAACUGGUAGGCUCGAGUCCGGAAGAGGGGCGUGGAAUUCCCGGUGUAGAGGUGAAAUUCGUAGAUAUUGGGAAGAACACCGGUGGCGAAGGCGGCGCCCUGGUCCGUUACUGACGCUGAGACACGAAAGCGUGGGGAGCAAACAGG